ensembl:snRNA U6 U6 spliceosomal RNA
GCGCUCGUUUCAGCAGCACGUAUGGUAAAACUGGAACGAUACAGAGAAGAUGAGCGUGGCCCUGCGCAAGGAUGACACGCCAAUUCGUGAAGCGUUCUGUAUUUGU